GGGGAUUUAGCUCAGCUUGGUUAGAGCGCAGGUCUUAUAAGCCUGAGGUCUCGGGUUCAAAUCCCGAAUUCCCCA
rnacentral:tRNA from 2 species